ensembl:miRNA
GGGCAUCGACUGUGGGAAGGAGCUGUGCUGGUAGAAAGGGGCUCUCCAGUCACUGGUCUCUUCUCUGCAGGUCCCCAGCGAUGUGUUGCCA